ACAGCAGAGAAGUGAGCUGAGUCCUGCCUUUCUGGAGCUGCUUCAUCCAAUCCUCGCACCAAGUGAGCUGAUCAAAUGCUUCCAGCCACUCCAGGUGCCCAGACAGACCAUUUGCCUGGCAAUGAACAUUGUGUGCUGCCUGCUGUGGGUGGGAUACUUAGGCAAAGAGUUGGCAUUUUAAACAAGUAAGUUUUUGGACUGCAGGCAGCAUUGUAUUAUCGUGAGGCAGACACCAUAAGAUUUUCUGAAAAGACCACAGAGCCUUGCUGACAGGUUUGAUGGACAAAAGGAAGCACGCAUGACUGGAAAGUCUGGAUUAUCAUACAGUCAGUGUUCAUUGGCAGCUUUCAAGCAGAAUCACAAGCACUGGAUGGUGGGACAUGUAUUUUAGUGCAUAGUUCAGAUGAGAGAGAAUGAAGUCUAAUAAUAUCCACAUGAGGAAUGGCCAACUUCGCUAAAACUCUCAGCUACACAGGAGUUCUCCUGGCCCCUAUGCAGGCUGACACACAAACAAGAUGUGCUCCAGGACCCAAGAAUAAAAUAAGAUCCUCUGGAAGCAAUUCCAGACUGCUACAGAUGUGUGGUUUAUCAGCACCAGUUGUAAUGGCAACAAGCAUGUAAUAUCCCGCUGCAAAAACCCACCCAAACCCCCCAACUACAGCAUAAAAUGCGUCUGUUGAGGUAAAGACUCAGGGAGAAAAAUAAAGGAGUGACCUACAGCCCUCCACAAAAGAAAGACCCUGGCACCAAUGGCACUGCACUGGUGAGAGCUCCCAGGGCAAUUACUUCAAAGAUCAAGAAGGAAAGCAGAGGAUGGAUGGAGGUUCUUCAAAGAAGCUGCUUGGCUGGAAGUCACCUUUGCCACCGCUGGGUCCCCUUGAUUAUUUCAGACUGGUAGAAAUGCCAGAAGAUUUCUUAACAACAGGACUGUGAAAAAGUAUCCUUCCUCUCUAGAAAUGUCCUAUUCCUUUUGGAACCAGCCACAGCUAAAGUAACCUGGACUUUCCUAAAGUCAGUAGGGUUUCUUAACAGUAAAUGGAUGGCUCGGGACUUUUUGUCACAUGGUGCCAGGAAGCACCAUUUGUGUUCAUAACUGUCUGCCUUCUGCCAAAGCAUCUGCCAAGCUUCUGAGCGUCUCCAUAUUACUUUUAAACAUCCUUUCAGAUGGAUCCCUGUCCAACCAACUCAGAGAGGCAUAUUAUUUCUAGGUGACUUGGUUAGUCUAAUGCCAUCCCUGGCAGGCUUCUAGUCUCACAUUUUAUGCUGGAAGACAUCAAGAUGUCAUGUUUAUCAACCCUGUUGCUUUAUGUCCUGCUUUACAAAGUAUUUAGGGAAUGUGAACUGACCCCAAAUAACAGAGUGCUGCUUCAACACUUAGCAUAAUUUGAUACUGUGACACACCCCAGAUAGUUUAAAGUUUAAGAGUGAGAUUUUGACAUCAUUACUCUUCCUGCAACUAAAACUGGAUUUUGACCUGUUUCAGCCUUAGGAAAAUUGAAACUUAUCCUGAAAAGUGCUUCCAAGUACUGGUCUGACAGUUCAUGGCUGUCGUGAUACAUAUAAAAGGGUUAUCCUCAAGGGUACCUCUGCAAGGUGCAAGAGCACCUGUUUUUUUGUUUGGUUGGUUUUUUUCUUUCUAUUUGUUUUUAAAACGUGAUACAUAAUAAACAGUGCUGCAUAACUAGUUUUAUUCCAUGUAUUUAUGCAUCAAGAUGUAUGAAUAAAGCACUAUCUAGGAAACAGCACAAGAAUUAUGGUUGGCAACAGACCAUAAGCAUAUAAUCAGUGGUUCAGAACAAUGAUAUGACCUUUGAUUAUAUGAUCACAUAUUUUUCCACUGGACUUACUACUGCAGAAGCUGGAAGGCACAUGGUAGAAGAGGCAGAAGGCUUUAAGAGAGAAAG